CACACCGCCUAAUCCUGGAACAGGACGUCAAUGGGCUACGGCAGACAGAGGAGUUAUUAAGCCCUCUCCUGACUACCAAACACAGAUUACAUAGAGGUCGUCUGAUGUAUGCAAGUUGUGACUAACAGCCAGACAGACAGCAUUUAUGCUUUCCAUUGAGGGUUUCCUGGACCUAGAUCUGCCCUGAAUAUACGUCACAAUCGAUCUACGCUGCAGUGGCUGACCUGAUAGAAACCCUGAAGCUGUUAUAAGGUUUGGAGUUUCACGACUUGUUCACCUACAUCUUUGCUCUCGCGACAGUCCCCGCAGAUGCAUCCCAAGCAGCCGUUUACCACCUGGAUGCCGCAGAGCACCAGCUGCACCAACCCCA